AGUGAAGGCAAGCCAGCUCUGUGUGAUUGCAUCCCUGGAUUGUUACUGCCUAGCAAGUACUGGAUUCUGUAGUAAUCAAUCCUCCAGCUGAGAGUAUCCUGUCAGUUCUUCUACAUUAGUACUGGCGCAUCCUCUUAAAAUAAACCAUCUGCUAAAGGC